CUGCUCGCUUCAGCAGCACCUAUACUAAAAUCUGAACCAUACAGAGAAGAUUAGCAUGGGCCCUGCUGAAGGAUGAUGGACAAAUUUGUAAAAGUAAACUUUAUAUU
ensembl:snRNA U6 U6 spliceosomal RNA